GACGAACGCUGGCGGCGUGCUUAACACAUGCAAGUCACGGGGGUCCGCAAGGGAUAACCGGCGAACGGGUGCGUAACACGUGAGCAACCUGCCUUUGUGUGGGGGAGUAGCCGGGCUAACGCCCGGGUAAUACCGCAUACGGUUCCCGGAGGGGGAGUCCCUUGGGAAAGGAAACCUCCGGGGCACAGAGAGGGGCUCGCGGCCUAUCAGCUAGGUUGGGGGGUAGGUAG
rnacentral:rRNA from 1 species